rnacentral:rRNA from 1 species
UACGUAGGGUGCGAGCGUUAAUCGGAAUUACUGGGCGUAAAGCGUGCGCAGGCGGUUCGUUGUGUCUGAUGUGAAAGCCCCCGGGCUCAACCUGGGAAUGGCAUUGGAAACUGGCGAGCUAGAGUGUGGCAGAGGGGGGGUGGAAUUCCACGUGUAGCAGUGAAAUGCGUAGAGAUGUGGAGGAACACCGAUGGCGAAGGCAGCCUCCUGGGCCGACACUGACGCUCAUGCACGAAAGCGUGGGGAGCAAACAGG